rnacentral:rRNA from 1 species
GACGAACGCUGGCGGCGUGCCUAAUACAUGCAAGUAGAACGCACAGUUUAUACCGUAGCUUGCUACACCAUAGACUGUGAGUUGCGAACGGGUGAGUAACGCGUAGGUAACCUGCCUGGUAGCGGGGGAUAACUAUUGGAAACGAUAGCUAAUACCGCAUAAUAUUAAUUAUUGCAUGAUAAUUAAUUGAAAGGUGCAAUUGCACCACUACCAGAUGGACCUGCGUUGUAUUAGCUAGUAGGUGAGGUAACGGCCCACCUAGGCGACGAUACAUAGCCGACCUGGGAGGGUGGUCGGGCACACUGGGACUGAGGCACGGCCCCGACUCCUACGGGAGGGAGCAGGAGGGAAUUUUCGGAAAUGGACGAAAGUCUGACCGAGCAACGCCGGGGGAGUGAAGAAGGGUUUCGGAUCGUAAAGCUCUGUUGUAAGAGAAGAACGGGUGGGAGAGUGGAAAGUUCACACUGUGACGGUAGCUUAACAGAAAGGGACGGCUAACUACGUG